GAUGAACGCUGGCGGCGUGCCUAAUACAUGCAAGUCGAGCGAACAGACGAGGAGCUUGCUCCUCUGACGUUAGCGGCGGACGGGUGAGUAACACGUGGAUAACCUACCUAUAAGACUGGGAUAACUUCGGGAAACCGGAGUUAAUACCGGAUAACAUGUUGAACCGCAUGGUUCAACAGUGAAAGACGGUUUUGCUGUCACUUAUAGAUGGUUCCGCGUCGCAUUAGCUAGUUGGUAAGGUAACGGCUUACCAAGGCAACGAUGCGUAGCCGACCUGAGAGGGUGAUCGGCCACACUGGAACUGAGACACGGUCCAGACUCCUACGGGAGGCAGCAGAAGGGAAUCUUCCGCAAUGGACGAAAGCCUGACGGAGCAACGCCGCGUGAGUGAAGAAGGUCUUCGGAUCGUAAAGCUCUGUUAUUAGGGAAGAACAAAUGAGUAAGUAACUAUGCACGUCUUGACGGGACCUAAUCAGAAAGCCACGGCUAACUACGUG
rnacentral:rRNA from 1 species